rnacentral:rRNA from 1 species
CGGCGGACGGGUGAGUAACGCGUGGGUAACCUGCCUCAUACAGGGGGAUAACAGUUAGAAAUGACUGCUAAUACCGCAUAAGACCACAGCACCGCAUGGUGCGGGGGUAAAAACUCCGGUGGUAUGAGAUGGACCCGCGUCUGAUUAGCUAGUUGGUAAGGUAACGGCUUACCAAGGCGGCGAUCAGUAGCCGACCUGAGAGGGUGACCGGCCACAUUGGGACUGAGACACGGCCCAA